rnacentral:rRNA from 1 species
AGUGAACGCUGGCGGUAGGCCUAACACAUGCAAGUCGAACGGCAGCACAGUAAGAGCUUGCUCUUACGGGUGGCGAGUGGCGGACGGGUGAGGAAUACAUCGGAAUCUACUUUUUCGUGGGGGAUAACGUAGGGAAACUUACGCUAAUACCGCAUACGACCUACGGGUGAAAGCAGGGGAUCUUCGGACCUUGCGCGAUUGAAUGAGCCGAUGUCGGAUUAGCUAGUUGGCGGGGUAAAGGCCCACCAAGGCGACGAUCCGUAGCUGGCCUGAGAGGAUGAUCAGCCACACUGGAACUGAGACACGGUCCAGACUCCUACGGGGGGCAGCAGUGGGGAAUAUUGGACAAUGGGCGCAAGCCUGAUCCAGCCAUACCGCGUGGGUGAAGAAGGCCUUCGGGUUGUAAAGCCCUUUUGUUGGGAAAGAAAAGCAGCAGGUUAAUACCCCGCUGUUCUGACGGUACCCAAAGAAUAAGCACCGGCUAACUUCGU